rfam:TPA: Bos taurus chromosome 27, whole genome shotgun sequence.
UCCCUGCUGGCUCAAAUGGUAAAGAAUCUGCCUGUAAUGCAGGAGACAAGGGUUCGAUCCCUGAGUUGGGAA